GAAGGCCGCUGGAGUCAUAUGCAAAAGUUUCUGGAGAGGACUGGCCCUUCACACACCCAGACUUUGAACCUAGUGAGGAGACACUACAGUUUCUGUUGGAAACAUGCAAAAUCCUGGUCAUUGGAGCUGGGGGUCUUGGCUGUGAACUACUGAAAAACCUGGCUCUGUCAGGUUUUCGUCAUAUUCAUGUUGUGGAUAUGGACAUCAUUGAUCUCUCCAACCUCAACAGACAGUUUCUCUUUAGGUACGAACCAUUAAAGUGUCCAUUUAAA